CUCUUGCAAGUCUCCAUUCCCCUCUGGGUUCUUAUGAGCUGUUUUUCUGUAUGAGCAGUCAAAGCAUUUUAUACAGCGUGCUUCAUUCACACAAGCACUUCUUUUUCUAACAAUGACACUAUGAUGGAUGCAUCGGAGAGGAAGUCGGGGUUCCACAUCUUGCCCAAGGAUACCGUGGCGUGCAGACUGGAGCAGCCAGGGAUCAAACCUCCAACCUUCCAUAGCAACCAGGACCAUAAUGAACCCUGACUCCAACAGACACUCAGGAUCCACCUGCCCAGUAAGUCACCCGCUAACUGCAACUAUCAGAGCCCUGACCUUCUGCAGAGACGAGUCACACUGAACACAGCAAGUGUCCCUGCUCUCAGAUACAAACCCGC
ensembl:lncRNA